GGGGUCAUAGCUCAGUUGAUAGGGUGUUUGCCUCAUAUGCAAAAAGCCCUGGGUUCAAUCCCCAGCACCACCC
rnacentral:tRNA from 1 species